ACUCGCGCCAACGCCAGUUCCCUUCACCGGCUUUUUGAUUUUGCCAAAUCAAUUUGGGGCGAAUGAAAACAACUUAUUGAUCAUGAGCCCAACAUCCAGCAAGGCAUUCAAUCUGGGAAGACUAUUAACAAAGGCAUACAGAUUUGGAACGACAUGAGGGUGCUGGUUGCGAAGCUCCCUGGAGUAGAAUCGAUGGUUCUCA